rnacentral:rRNA from 1 species
GAUGAACGCUGGCGGCGUGCCUAAUACAUGCAAGUCGAGCGAACGGACGAGAAGCUUGCUUCUCUGAUGUUAGCGGCGGACGGGUGAGUAACACGUGGAUAACCUACCUAUAAGACUGGGAUAACUUCGGGAAACCGGAGCUAAUACCGGAUAAUAUUUUGAACCGCAUGGUUCAAAAGUGAAAGACGGUCUUGCUGUCACUUAUAGAUGGAUCCGCGCUGCAUUAGCUAGUUGGUAAGGUAACGGCUUACCAAGGCAACGAUGCAUAGCCGACCUGAGAGGGGGGUAGGCCACACGGGAACUGGGACACGGUCCAGACUCCUGCGGGAGGCAGCAGUAGGGAAUGUGCGGCAAUGGGCGAAAGCCUGACGGAGCAACGCCGCGUGAGUGAUGAAGGUCUUCGGAUCGUAAAACUCUGUUAUGAGGGAAGAACAUAUGUGGAAGGAACUGUGCACAUCGUGACGGUACCUAAUCAGAAAGCCACGGCUAACUACGUG